GCCUGGAUGGCUUAGUCGGUUAAGUGUCUGAUUUGGGCUCAGUUCAUGAUCUCACUGGUUUGUGAGUUCGAGCCCCACGUCAGGCU
rnacentral:tRNA from 1 species